UAAAAGUUUUAUUUUGGCUAAAAAAUUUAUUUUAUUUAUAUUUUAUAUGAAAAUUUUUGUGUGAAUUUAUUUUAAUCUUAAGGAUUUUUAUAAAAUUUUAUCCUCAGUAUUUGAUUUUAAAAAUUAAAGAAAUUUAGAUUUAGUAAUAAAUAGUAGUAUGGGUUAAUUUUGUGCCAGCAUCCGCGGUUAUACAAAAUAUAUAAAUAAAUUUUAUUAUUGUGUAGUUAAAUGUUAAAUUUUAAUUGAAAUUUUUAUUAAUAAGGUGAAAUUUAUUAUAAUAUUUAGAUUAUUAAAUAAUUUAUUGAAGCUAUAAAAUUUUAAUAAUAAACUAGGAUUAGAUACCCUAUUAUUUAAAAUAUAAAUGGUUUAAAUUAGGUAGUAAUAGAUAAGAUCUUGAAACUUAAAAAAUUUGGCGGUAUUUUAAUCUAUUUAGAGGAAUCUGUUCCAUAAUUGAUAGUCCACGAUAAAUUUUACAUAAUUUUAUUUAGUUUGUAUAUCGUCGUUAUAAGAAUAUUUUAUAAGAAUAUAAAUUUUCUAAAAUUUUAAUUUGAAUUUAUUUCAGAUCAAGGUGCAGCUUAUAAUUAUGAGGAAAUGGAUUACAAUAAGUUUAUUUAUAUGGAUAAUGAAAUGAAAUUUUUGUUUGAAGGUGGAUUUAAUAGUAAAAUAAAAAAUAUUUUUUAUUUGAUUAUAGCUCUAAAAUAUGCACAUAUCGCCCGUCGCUCUCUUUAUUUUUAAAAGAGAUAAGUCGUAACAAAGUAGGUGUACUGGAAAGUGUACCUAGAAUGAUA
rnacentral:ncRNA from 1 species